rnacentral:rRNA from 1 species
UACGUAGGAGGCGAGCGUUGUCCGGAAUUACUGGGCGUAAAGAGCGCGUAGGCGGCGCGGUACGACGGAUGUGAAAGCCCCCGGCUCAACUGGGGAGGGUCAUGCGUAACGGCCGUGCUUUGGAGUGCAGGAGAGGGAAGUGGAACUCCGGGAGUAGCGGUGAAAUGCGUAGAGACCCGGAGGAACACCAGUGGCGAAGGCGGCUUCCUGGUCUGCAACUGACGCUGUGGCGCGAAAGCUAGGGGAGCAAACGGG